rnacentral:rRNA from 1 species
UUCACGGAGAGUUUGAUCCUGGCUCAGGACGAACGCUGGCGGCGUGCUUAACACAUGCAAGUCGAACGAUGAAGCCGCUUCGGUGGUGGAUUAGUGGCGAACGGGUGAGUAACACGUGGGCAAUCUGCCCUGCACUCUGGGACAAGCCCUGGAAACGGGGUCUAAUACCGGAUAUGAUCACCGGCCGCAUGGUCUGGUGGUGGAAAGCUCCGGCGGUGCAGGAUGAGCCCGCGGCCUAUCAGCUUGUUGGUGGGGUGAUGGCCUACCAAGGCGACGACGGGUAGCCGGCCUGAGAGGGCGACCGGCCACACUGGGACUGAGACACGGCCCAGACUCCUACGGGAGGCAGCAGUGGGGAAUAUUGCACAAUGGGCGCAAGCCUGAUGCAGCGACGCCGCGUGAGGGAUGACGGCCUUCGGGUUGUAAACCUCUUUCAGCAGGGAAGAAGCGCAAGUGACGGUACCUGCAGAAGAAGCACCGGCUAACUACGUGCCAGCAGCCGCGGUAAUACGUAGGGUGCGAGCGUUGUCCGGAAUUAUUGGGCGUAAAGAGCUCGUAGGCGGCCUGUCGCGUCGGAUGUGAAAGCCCGGGGCUUAACCCCGGGUCUGCAUUCGAUACGGGCAGGCUAGAGUUCGGUAGGGGAGAUCGGAAUUCCUGGUGUAGCGGUGAAAUGCGCAGAUAUCAGGAGGAACACCGGUGGCGAAGGCGGAUCUCUGGGCCGAUACUGACGCUGAGGAGCGAAAGCGUGGGGAGCGAACAGGAUUAGAUACCCUGGUAGUCCACGCCGUAAACGUUGGGAACUAGGUGUGGG